CCUUCGAUAGCUUAGUUGGUAGAGCGGUGGACUGUAGUGGUCCAGGUCGCUGGUUCAAAUCCAGCUCGAAGGU
rnacentral:tRNA from 1 species